UGACACUCCCUUGUACGCCAUCAUCUGAUCCAUUCUUCCCAGCACUGCCAUUGCUAGGAAUGCACCUGUAUAUCAUCAACAUUUGGGAAGCAAGAAGAAGAGGAGAUUCAAAGACCAAGACUCACUCACCGGCAGAGGGCCAAAGAACAUCGCUGACGCUGACGCCGCCAGGCGACGAUGCCGGCGAGGCACCGGCGGCGGCGGCGCUGGCUUCCGCGACGACCACACGUCAUAUACUGCCUGAUUGGAUCACCGCCGGCGAGGUCUGGAUCCGUUGCUGCUGCUUGGCAGUUUCUUGCUGAUCGCUAGCUGACCACAGCAGACUGUACCAACUCAAUCUAAUGUGUGGUCAGCGGUCACAAGUUUCACGGACAUGAAUCCGAAAGAAAUCUCGCUGCUUGACUGCUUAUGAUUUUGCUACUUCAUUAAGAUCAUUAGCAAGGCUGGCAAGUGCCGCAAAAAAUCUCAAAGUCCCAUCUUUUCCGUUUUUCCUAUGAUUAUAAUUCAAAAUUUGAA